UGUGGAAACCAAUGUCCAGCUUCACAGCCUGUAAAUUGUUGCUGUUCCCAUCCAACUUACCUGUCCAGUCUGGAGUAUUCGGAUGUGACGCAAUAAGCCGGUGCAACUGUUAAGUGACCAAAACGAUACGCAUUGUGCAGUACGUCACUACACACACCUGCCAACACCUCAGUCAUGAUUCCGAGAAGCACAUUCACCUGAGGCAGACGACAAAUUGAGCUGUUUGGAACGAAUCUCACAUGUGCAGAAUCUGUUCAAAAUGAAAUCACGAAUCACCAGCCAGGGGAGAGAAACAGUUGACCCAUGACCCGCUGUCGUCUGCUCACCUGAGAACCUCUCACCUCGCGACAGCAUUCAGAGCAGUUCAUGGAGUCAUGAGGUCCUGGGAAACUCCAUGGCAACGAUCUCUUGGCGACGCACAGUCUCCAACGUCACGACAUGCGCAGACAAGUCAUUUCCGGAUACUGAUAAA